rnacentral:lncRNA from 1 species
ACCUCACAUCCUCUGCCACACCACAGUGGAGAAACCAGAACUGGAGGAGCAGCCAGAAUGCAGAGAAGAAAAAAGAGUUCUCUGCAUGUUUGGAAGUCGGAAUUGGUUGAAGUUGAAGAUGAUGUGUAUCUGAGGCACAGCUCUUCCCUGACUUAUAGGCUUUGACACUGCUGUUGAGGUUUGACUCGAAGCCCAGAGUUUUGGUGUGGAUGAGCAGGGACAAA